AUCAAUGUGACUCUUCAAAGGCAACAAUCAAUGUAACUCUUCAAAAGGAAAAUGGUUCACCAUCUCUAACCGUCGCUUUCACUUUCCCCACACAUCCGAAACUCACGACAAUCAACCAUUACCAUUUCCUCUCCAAUGAAUCGGCAAGUGAAGCUUAAAAGUUAUCGAAUCGGCCAGUAAUCUUCUUUGAUAAAGGCUUCAAUCCCUCUGUCUAUGAUAUCGGUUUUGAAGUUCAUGUGGUGGCGCUCAGUUUUUGGUGGAACGCAACCAGGACUCAGAUGGUGAUUGCCAUUCGAACACACAUUAAAGACAGGUCCUGUGGGUGAAUCGGGGAGAAGGGAGAUGGUAGAAGCCCUAGCCGCCGUCGGAUGGUUCCGGUUGAUACAUGUAAUCUUCAUGCCUGUCUUCUUUGAGAAUACGUGUGUGUGUUUUUUCAUAAUUGGCCAGCGAAAAAGGGUCCGUUAGGGACGACAUGGAUCGCGGCGCAUCUCGAGAGGAAGCUUAGGAAAAAUCAGGCUGCUGAUACUGAUAUUGGUGUCUCUGUAGACUUAACUUUGCAGUUCUGAUGUAGUCUUGCAAGCAAUAUUGCUAGAAUGGAUGGCGGGAUCACCGAAAGUCGCAAACAUGUAAAAGACGGUUUUUUCCAGUAUUUUUAGCAUUGUUUGAUGCUCUUCUGAUGCGUUCUCAGGUAGAUGAUUCAACAUAUACUUGUGAGACUGCAACAGGGGACUUGCCGGAUGGCCUUGUGCAGUUUAGGUUGAAUUUAGUCGAGGUUUUGGUCGACAUUUGCCAGCUUUUAAAUUCCGUUGUAUUUUUGCAAAAGGUAUGCACAAAGCCACAAACUUGUAUUAUAUUUUGCAUUAUUAUUCCCCAAGACUAGACCUAGCAAAUGGGUCGGGCCGGGUCAUGGGUCAAAACGGUUUCGGGCCAAAAUGGGUCAAUUAAAAAAGGGGCAGUUUUGGUUUGGGUCAAAACGGGUUUGGGUCGAAACGGGUUCGGAUCAGAACGGGUACAGGUCGGAACGGGUUUUUGGGUCGGGUUGGUUAAAAAUGUUUUUUUAAAGAGAUUGUACAUCAAGGGGCAAUUUUGUUCGGUUCGAAACGGUACGGGUCGAAACGGUACGGGUCGAAAUGGUUCGCGUCUAAACGGUACGCGUUGAAACGGUUCGAUUCGAAAUGGUACGGGUCUAAACGGUUCACCGUUUAACGGUUCGUGUUGAAACGGUACGCGUUGACCAAUGAGAAAUCUUGAUAAUAAAUCUGCACCACUACAAUGUGAUAAGGUUAGAGUCUGUGAUUGGUUUGUGUUAGUAUAUGUAUACAGUUGAUCAAUGUGAUUUGUAACGGCUCCACAGUAGAUAGAUAUUGUUAUGGUAAGUGAUAUUUUAGUUAACAAAUUUCAAUCUAACUUGUGUAAAGAAGAAAUAAUACAAUUUUAUCCUUUUUUUUUGGGAUUUCUGAGCCAUUUUUGUAUUAGUAGACACCGAGUUUUUGCCCAGACAUUUAUCAUCUCAUUAUGUACCAUGACCAGGUAACCAUAUAAUCAGCAAAAACUAUGUUAAAUUCACUGAAUUUAUAGACUAUACUACAAUAAAAAAAAUAACAAAAUACCAGUCUUUCUUUUAGGUUAGCAGGUGAGGACUCAGCGUUUGCGACAAUCAGGAAUCAUCUUCCUUGAUUCAGCCAGCACAUUUUCCUAUUCAAAUAAAUCGUUAGAUUGAAAUUUGUAACACCACUACUAGGCUGCUAUGCAUACUUCAUUUUUUUUAUUAUUGCAGUUUUCGUGUGUUGGACGUUUGCUUUUUUUUUUAGGGUGAAAACUAAUGCUCUCUCACUUUCUCUUUUUAUCCGGUUCUCACAGUUGUCAACAUUGGUUUUGAAAUGAACCCUCUUAUAUGUAUACUUAGUUUAGCAAUUUACUAAUGCUAUUUUAUGAAUUUAUGGUAAUUAUAUGAUUUUUCUCCAACGAAUAGAUUCUGAGGUGACGCAAGAAGUGAACAACCCGCAGCAGCUCCUGCAACGGCAAAGGACGACAGGCCUGCAAAAUCUACUUUCAAGUCUACCGCAGUCAUCACAGACGUUAAUUGGUCAAUACACCAUGACAUAUGUUUUUGGUCAAAAUUCGAACAUGAAGAACCUUCAAAAUAUGUCUGGUGCUGUUGGUGACCUCACAAAGGAAUCUGAUAAUUGGAGGGCUCAACUGCAAGCAGAUGCACGUGAAAGGAGCGUG